rnacentral:rRNA from 1 species
AGAUUGAACGCUGGCGGCAUGCUUUACACAUGCAAGUCGAACGGUAACAGGCCGCAAGGUGCUGACGAGUGGCGAACGGGUGAGUAAUGUAUCGGAACGUGCCCAGUCGUGGGGGAUAACGCAGCGAAAGCUGCGCUAAUACCGACAUACGAUCUAUGGAUGAAAGCGGGGGACCGUAAGCCCCGCGCGAUUGGAGCGGCCGAUAUCGAGAUUAGGUACGUUGGGUGGGUUAAAAGGGCUUCACCAAGGACCAACGAUCUGUAGCUGGUCUGAGAGGACGACCAGCCACACUGGGACUGAGACACGGCCCAGACUCCGUACGGAGCAGCAGUGGGAAUUUGGACAAGUGGCGCAAGCCUGAUCCAGCAAUCGCCGCGUGCAGGAACGAAGGCCUUGGUUGUAAACGUGU